rnacentral:rRNA from 1 species
GAGCUUUGAUAAGGCUGCUCACCAAUGAGCUGGACGUGUUUUUGUCCUGGGUACUUGCAUGAUGGAAGAAGAAAUUGGGUAUUCCUAAAUGUGCUACUGCAGAUCAAAGGUGAAUUCAUCCCAUUUUCUUACUUCAAUCUCAGGUUAUUUAGGAGGUGAGGAUAAUAAUAAUUGAAUGAACAUUGUUUGAGAUCCACCUGACUAAUUGCACCUUAUGGAGAAGGAGCAGGCCGUGGAGGAGUGCAAGUAGCAGGUUCCCGGUGACUGCAAAUCUGAAAUUGAAGAUAGGGCAGAUUGUAUUGGUUCUGCUUGCUUGCAGAACUUGUGGUAUGCUGGCCAUGGAGUACUCAGACCCUGCCAAGAAAGAGGAGCAGGAGAUGAGGAGCACAACAUUUAGUGUACAAUGGUGCAUGAUGUGGCAGUUAGGAUCAGGACACGAGGAACACGACACUGGGUGUACGAAAGAUUAGUAGGAAGAAUGUUAAUCACAGUGUGUGAAAAGAAAAUGCGAGCUCGGCUGAUGUAUUACGUACUAUUUGGCUGAGUUGUUUUGUCCUAAAGAUACAAUUAAGCUGAAGAAUUCUUUUUGUAUGGAAAUUCACUAUGGAAAUCGAAACAAUGGUACUCUGCACAACCGUUUACUUUCUUGCAUCGGUUCUUCAUUCUAUAAGUGAAACCUUUUCUAUUUGGUAAAAUAAGAGUGAGCUCAUGCUUGAACUUCCACCAUGUAUGUUAACACUUGGAUACUGUAUCAACCCAGUAAUCCCCCGAUCCUUCAUUGUUUUCCCUUGCAUUGCCUCCUUUAACUAUUCAGCAGGACCUUGAAAAGAAUGAUUUUUCGGUUAUAUAAUUUAUUAUGUUUUGUUUCGCCUUCGAGAGGUAGAAUGUAAAGUAGGCUGGUAUUUUCAUUCCGUUAGAUAUUUGAUAUAAGUGAAUAUAUACCUUUCGGCAGGUGAAUGUGCUCUCCAUUAAUAUUACUCAUAUAUUUGAGCUUCAGAGAAGGAUAUCUAUGCCAUUUUGUUUUUGUUUUUUAAACAAAAGAGUGUUGUAUGUAUAUCGUUAGGAGGAUGAAGCAGCAAAAUUAUCUACGCAAUUUAGCAGGAUAUGGCUGAUACGUACAGAGUGGCUUUACUUAGGUCUGGUGUUACUACUAUUUCUUUCAUUGUAAAACUGCAGUCUUAGAACGCUAUGUAUCAUGAAUGAUUCAUGUGUACCAAUCUGCCCUUAAAUAUAUUUAUGUUCACUCUUUCCAUACUUGCCUUACUCUCGUCCCUUGCGCCAUCGGCGCAACGGGUCAUCUAGUUUUAGAUUACAAGAGCAUGGUAGCACACAAGUUUAUUGUUGACAACGAAGAUAGGAUGCUCUUGUAUAAACUUAGAUUCAAUAAGAAACAUUUUGAGAUUAUUAUUUUGCAUGCGCCUUUGUUGUUUGAUUUGCUUGCAGAAAAUUUUCUCGUCACACCGAAGGCAGUGAACAAUCAUCGAGCCCAAACUUUUACUCCAGAACCUGAACGUGAGCCGGAACCUGAGCUGGACCCUUAUCGUGCAUCAUCUGUCCAGUGGGAGUCGGAGAUGACCAGCCAGUGGUAUCCUGAUUACACCUCUCAUUACACUGGGGAGAGUAGCUGCGGUCCUUGGUAUUAAACCAACUUAGGCCAAAAGCCUAAGCUUGGGGGAGUACGUAUUCCUCACCGACUUCACAUUCAUGUUCACACACUGGGCAUCGGUGCUCAUACUCUUUCAUUGUGUUAUCCAUGUUAGUUUAAAUUUCUUUUUCUAGUUUUCUUCUUGUGUGUUUGAUAAACCUUGAGAAAAACCAAAAAAAUUAGUUAGUUUAAUUUCCUUGCCUGUAGUAGGAUUAAAAUGAAAACCUCAAAAGAUUUCUAGUUCUUUUUACUUGUUGGGAGGUUUCCUGUGUAAAUAGUUUUAUUUUCUUUUCUUUCCUUUGGGGGUCGAGAAGACCAUAUUGAAAAUGCUUAGUGACUCUUAUAUGCAUGAUUGUUUAUUUAAUUUAGAGCCCAUAUUAAUUGUCUUCUCUCUUGAGUUGAAUGCUUGCAGAUUCCAGCUUAGUCCAAUGCACGUGCACUUUUAUUAUUAUACACAUCGUUCGUUCGUGCAAGUGGAAGGCAAUAAUGAUGAUAUAUGAUGGACUUAUUGGGAUGAGAAAAGUCGGUAUGAACUCGACGUCUCUUGUUUUUUUAAUAUGAUGAUUCAUCGUUCCUAAGUCAGCUAUUAUGAAGUAAACAUAUUUGCAAUGACAUUUAGAGAUUAUAGUUACUUGUGCCAUGCUUGAUUAUCUAUGAGUUAUAAUGGUUUACCUUGCGUGCCAACAUGCUAUUAAAAUGGUUGUGAUGUGGUAUGAUAGGGUGGUAUCCUCCUUCGAAUGAUUCGAGUGACUUGACUUGGCAUAUGUUCACGCAUGUAGUUGAAAACAAAUCAACACAGCCUUCAUGAUAUUUAUGUUCAUGGUGGAUUAUAUCCUACUCAUGCUUGCACUCGGUGUUGAUUAAUUUUAAUGCAUGUUCAUGACUGUUAUUGCUCUCUCAGUUGGCCGCUUCCCAGUCUUUUGCUAGCCUUCACCUAUACUAAACGGGAAUAUUGCUUGCGCAUCCAAACUCCAUAAACCCCAAAGUUAUUCCAUAUGAGUCCACUAUACCUUCCUAUAUGCGGUAUCUACCUGCCGUUCCAAAUAAAUUUGUAUGUGCCAAACUCCAAACCUUCAAAUGAAAUUCUAUUUUGUAUGCUCGAGCAGCUCAUGUUACAACUAGGGCUGCCUAUAUCUUCCAUGCUAGGUGGGUUAUUCUCAGAGGAGUGGACUUCGCUCAUCAUUCACGAGAAGGGGCCGGUAACUGGGAUGCCCAGUCCCAUGAUCCAAAAAGAUUAAAGCAAAUCAAAAUAAUUAAACAAAACUUCCCCAGGGCUGUUGUAUGUUGAGGGCACUCGUUGUUUCGAGCAAGCCAUGGAUUGAUGCUUGUUGGUGGUUGGGGGAGUAUAAACCUUUACCAUUCUGUUUGGAAACUGCCUAUAAUGCAUGUAAUAUGGAAGAUACAGCCAUCUCAUAGGUGUUGCGUUGACAGCGAAAGUAUGCCGCUCAAAAUGUUAUUCAAUCUCUAUUUUAAAAUCGAGCUCUCACACCUCUACAAAUCUCUGUUUCCCUCUGCGAAGGGCCUAUCUAUUUACUUUUAUGUUGAGUCAUCACCCUUCUUAUUAAAAGCACCCGCUGGAGAGCACACUGUCAUUUGCAUGUAUUAUUAUUGGUUUAUAUUGGGUAUGACUUGAUUGGAUCUCUUUUACCAUGAAUUACAAUGUUUAGUCAGUCCUUGAUCUUUAAAGGUGCUUUGCAUUUAUGUUUUGCGGUCUCAGAAAGGGCUAGCGAGAUACCAUUUUAUUAUAUCAUGUUAUAAUUAUUUUAAGAAAGUGUUGUCAUCUGAGUUUUAUUAUUAUGGCUCGCUAGCUGAUUAUGCCAUUGGUGUGAGUAAUUGUGAGACCUAUGUGUUACUGUGAGUAUGGUUAGUUCAUAAUAUUUGCUGAAACUUGAAUGCUGGCUUUUCAUGUUUACAACAACAAGAGCAAACAGAGUUUGUAAAAGUUUUUCUUUAUCACUUCCAGUUUAUCAACUGAAUUCCUUGAGGACAAGCAAAGGUUUAAGUUUGGGGAGUUGAUACGUCUCCAACGUAUCUACUUUUCCAAACACUUUUGCCCUUGUUUUGGACUCUAACUUGCAUGAUUUGAAUGAAACUAACCCGGACUGACGAUGUUUUCAGCAGAACUGUCAUGAUGUUGUUUUAUGUGUAGAAAAGAAAAGUUUUCGGAAUGUCCUGGAAAUCCAUGGAGGCACCUUUUGGAAUUAAUAAGAAUUUUUGGCGAAAGAGUUAAUGCCAGGGGGCCCACAGCCUGCCCACGAGACAGGGGGGUGCCCCCCCAGGGCGCGGCCUCCUAUCUCGUGGGCCCCCUGGACCUCCUGCGACCUCAACUCCAACUCCAUAUAUUCCGUCUCGGGGAGAAAAAAAAUCAAAGAGAAAGUUUCAUCGCGUUUUACGACACGGAGCCACCGCCAAGCCCUAAUCUCUCUCGGGACGGCUGAUCUGGAGUCCGUUCGGGGCUCCGGAGAGGGGGAUUCGUCGCUGUCGUCAUCAUCAACCAUCCUCCAUCACCAAUUUCAUGAUGCUCACCGCCGUGCGUGAGUAAUUCCAUCGUAGGCUUGCUGGACGGUGAUGGAUUGGAUCAGAUUUACCAUGUAAUUAAGUUAGAUUUGUUAGGGUUUGAUCCCUAGUAUCCACUAUGUUUUGAGAUUGAUGUUGCUAUGACUUUGCUAUGCUUAAUGCUUGUCACUAGGGCCCGAGUGCCAUGAUUUCAGAUCUGAACCUAUUAUGUUUUCAUGAAUAUAUGUGUGU